ensembl:ncRNA T21G5.7 ncRNA
GAAGAGAUGCAGACGGCUCCCUCGCCGUGUUACACCGUGCGCGCGGGAGCUCUUUUUAAGUCUGCGUCUCACUGAACUUGGGUUAUCUUUUCGAUUGGGCUCCGAGUCUUUCUCUCGGGCGGUUCCAUAUC